UGACAUGAUUCGGAGAUGCUCCUGCCAGCAAAAGCAACCUCGACACCUUAACGUUCGGGCUGUAAAUAUUCCUCAGCGUACACAACGCCGAAGAGACGCAUUCGGUGGACGAUGCUAACCAGAUGGCCUAAUCAAAGGUGGUUACCUGUAGAUCGCGCGAAGGCCAACACGGAGCAACGCCUCUGUAAACGUGCGCCUUGAGUAUGUGAUGACCUAAUUCGAGGGCUUUAUCACCGUCUAGCGGUGCCUGAAGGCGGGACAACCUGUAUGCAAUGGCUGCAUGGCCGAGCCUCAGAUCGCAGAGGAACUUGGUCGAUUCGCCCUCGUCUCUUCUCAUCAACCAUUCUCUGAACGACGGAUGGAAGAACAUGUAGGUGUUAUCCAGACGUUUCACGAGGAAUCCAGAGAGCAUCUGAUAGCAAGAGAUGAAGAGGUUGUCGUAUAACGAAUGGGCGGGUUGCGAUUCAGUAAGAGAGCAUUGGAUCGUUGUAGAGAAUAAACAUUCUCCCGUACAAUUAAGUAAUUCUUACAAAACAGUGAUGAUCAACGUUCGAUAUGAUUAUUUUAUGCACUACUUAACAUAUCUUUCCAUUCUUCACAAAAAAAUAUUAAGGUAUUCUGGUUGAAAGUUGUUCAGUUGAUUAUUUGAAAAGGUAUUUAACUCGUAUAAUAUAUCCUUUGCGACACAGCAAAAAGUAAUUGCACAAGUAUACAAAGAGUAUAUUAUAAGAGAUUUGUCUCGUUAUGACGAAGAAGAGACUUACGUGGUCCACUCAAAGGCAGCAACAGUAAAUGACGAAUAAUUUUAUUAUAGAAUUCGUUUUCCGGUUGUUACAAAAUUUAUCUCGUUUAUAAGAGAAACUUACUUUGAAUCUCUGCAGAAAAUCCUCCCAUGAAACGAAGUGGUUCGUGUUCAGAGAGUUCACCGAGUAGAAGAUUUCUGGUAAAGUCAGAGGAUAUAAAGCAGCCAAACAGACGCCUAAUAGAGGUUGAACCUUGUCAAAAGAUGUCGCUGUAGGGAACCUGAGGUUGAAGUGUAGUUGGAAAAUCUGCGCUAAAGAAACUGGCAGUACCUGAAACACAAAUUCCAAACUUAUGUUCCAAUGUUGUUCUUGAUCAAUAAAAAAAGAAAAAAAGAA